GUAAGGAAUACACAGGCAGGCCAGCCUGCAGAAUCAGACACUGUGGCCCCCAGCAACCAACCUUGGAGAAGAAGGAUGACUUCCUUUCAUGAAGGCAUAAACAAGACCUUUCAGCUACUAACUUUUAAAAAUUACAACAAGUGCUUGCUGUGGAAAAUUAGAAGGGCAAGAGGUUUUUGAGGACUCAGAAAUUAUCUCAGAGCUGCUGGAUGUGGGCUGAUCUUCUGUAGAAUGUGCAGGUUCUCAGCAACUCAGGCCUGUGGAGUUCAUCCUUUCCUGUCCAGGGGGCCCAGGGAAGAGCCCAGAACAGCUGCAUCCCAGCAGCGUCUACAGAGCACGUCCCACUCUCUGAACAGUGAGCCUGCCCAGGCGUUUACAGCACAAGAAUCUGCAGCAUUUCUGGAGCAAGUCACCCCAGAGGGAUGAUGAGCCAACUGGAGAGUCCGCUGCAUGAGGAAGUGUUUGAGUAAUUAGGAGAAAAUGGAGUAAGGAGCAGGUUGGGAACAAGGUCCUCCGCUGGUGGAAGGUUGAGAGCAGAGUCCAGCCCUCAGGGCAGGUGUAAGGGACAGUCAGUUGAUGAGGAAGCCAGGGUGUAAGAUUCGAGCCACAGGAGGAUAUACCAGAGUCCUCCCCCCUACCCCCUUCAGCCUCUCAAUAGAUCAUUCAUCAGACACUCAGAUCUGUCUAAAUGACAUAUUGUUGUCACAUGAAGCAAUGGACAAGGGGCCCCACCUGAUCACCUUUGUUUAAUUUGAGAUUGAAUUUGAGAGAGACUGAAAUGGAGACUUAUGUCUGAAGAACAUUUGAAGAAUAAAGUAACAUUUGAUGGACAGAGAACAGAGAUUUAAUUUAAGAUUAAUGAAUGCUUCGGGGCUGGGGAUAUAAUGUAGUGGUAGGGCACUUGCCUAGUAUGUGCAAGGUCCUGGGUUCAUUUUUCAGCAUAGGAAAAAGAAGAGAGUGAGGCAGGGCGGUGGGGGUGGGAGAGAGAAUAAUGCAUGCUUUAAAAUAACACAGAUUGGUGCAACCACUUUGGAAAACAGUAAGAAGAUUCCUCAAAAAACUAGGAAUGGAACCACCAUUGGAUUCAACUCUCCUACUUCUUGGUUUAUAUCCAAAAGAUUGAAAAUCAGCACACUACAGUGAUGCACCCACAUCAAUGUUUAUAGCAGUUCAAUUCACAAUAGCUAAGCUAUGGAACCAACCUAGAUGCCCUUCAACAGAUGAACAAGUAAAGAAAUUAUGGUGCACAUACAUCAUGAAGUAUUACUUAGCCAUAAAAAAGAAUGACUUUAUGACAUUUGCAAGUAAAUGGAUGGACCUGGAGACUAUCAUGCAAAAUGAAAUAAGUCAGUCCCAAGAAACCAAAGAUUGAAUGUUUUUGCUGAAAUGUGGAAGCUAACCUACAGUAAGUGGGUGUGGGGAGAGGGAAAGAAUAGAUAUUCAGUAGAUUAAACAAAGGGGAAUGAAGGAAGGGAGGGGAAUAGGAAAAGAAAAAACAGUGGAAUGAAUCUGAAAUAAUUUUUUCCUGUGUACAUAUAUGAAUACACCACAGUGAAUCUCACCAUCAUUACAUCCAUAAGAAUGGGGUCCUAAUUAAAAUAAGAUAUACUCCAUGCUUGUACAAUUAUAUCAAAAUGAAUUCUAGUAUCUUGUAUAACUAAAAAGAACCAAUUAAAAAUAGGAUUCUCUUCUGCCUUCAUUCAAUCUAAUAAAUUCUAAUGCAGAGGUAUUAUGAAAAUUAAAAAAAAAAGGAGAUUGAAAGAAGAAUGACACAAAUGUGCAGACAAUGUCUGUAAAUCAGAAAAUAUUAACAAGAGAUACUGACAUCUAGUUAUUUCCUACUGAAAAAUUUGAGUUUCAGGGACAAAAUUAUCCUCAAACCAUCUGGACAGAGUAUUAUCUGCAAAGAGACCAAAACAUGUAGCUUUCUUGGACAUCACUUACAAAAUAAAUAUUAGACGUGAAGGAAGCUACAUGCAAAAUUUUGAGGAGAAAGGAAGUAAUAUAAAAAUAUCACAGAGCUAAGAUGCUGUUGAUGUGUGAUGGCUUCCAAAAGACUUUCUACAUAUGUACAGAAUUCAGGAAGUGGAUCACUUAGUUAUCCUAAUUGAACAACUGAGUGAAAGCAUGCUCUAGUUAAAUGAGAAAUAAGUCAAAACACAGAGAUAAAAAACAGACAAAUUAUGGGAAAAAGAUGAGCAUUAAAACCAACAAAAUACAGAAUUAAGUCUAGUUAAGUGUCAUAGAUGCUAGUGAGAAAAGGACCAGGUCAAAAUUCAGGCUUGGGGCUGGGCAUGGCGGCACAUGCCUGUAAUCCUAGGGACCUUGGAGGCCGAGGCAGCAGGAUUUCGAGUUCAAAGCCAACCUCAGCUACCUAGCAGGCCCUAAACAACAUAGCAAGACUCUGUCUCAAAAUUAGAAAACAAACAAACAGACAAGACAAACACACAUACAAAAUACGGGCUGGGGAUGUGGUUCAGUUGUGAAGCAUUCCUGGGUUCAAUCCCUGGUACCAAAAAAUAAAAUCUUUUUGGCUGGGGAUACAGCUCAGUUGGUGGAGUGCUUGCCUAGCAUGCACAAGACCCUGGGUUCAAUCCCCAGCAUCACCACCACCACCACCACCAACAACAACAACAAAAAAAAAAAAAAAAGAAAAGAAAGAAAAAUACCUUUUUUACAAAAAGCCAGGCUUGGUGGCACAUGCCUGUAAUCCCAUCAACUCUGAGGGCAAAAGCAGGAGGCUCUCAAG